AAAGAACCAGCAUCAUGGAGACCAAGGAACACAGCAGAUAGGUCAGGGAGAAUGUUCUGGUUCAGUUGUAAUGCAGGGUUAGGUUCUACCACAAGCUUUGAACAUCUCCCAGAGUUUUGUUCAAUCCAUCAUCUGAACAUGGAGAGAGGAUGGACCAUCUGCAGACCGACCAAGACAUGGACAUCCACCUAAACUGACAGGCUGGAUAAGGAAAGCAUCAAUUGGAGAAGUAGCCAAGAGGACCAAGGUAACUCUGGAGGAGCUGCAGAGGCUCAAGGCUCAGGUUUUAGAAUUGGAGCUUUAAGAUGGAACCAAAAUACACCCUGCUUGACCACAUCAGACAGGUCCAACUAAAAUACAAAACAUCAGUCUGUCCAGCCCCAACUGCCUAAGAUGAUGCCACAGAUGCUACAGGCCACAGCAGGGAAGCCGAGAUGUCCAUCUCCAUAGCAACACUUUCCAGAUUGGUGGAUCCAGUAGUCUUCCCAGGCCAGAAGGGAUAAUCCCAUCAAUGAGCUCUGGGUCUCAAUCUUCUCAGUGGGACCAGUCCAGGAAUUCCCCAGAAGUGGAAUCACAAUUUAUUUAUUUUUUACAAACUUUGUAGGUUUGGUUUUUGUGCCGAUGGUUUAAAUUGUUGUGCAGCAUGAUCAGAAACCACUUCACCUUGCAUCAAAACAGCCUCAAAUGCAGGAAACUUGAUGAAAGAACAGUUUUCUGGAUCAUCAAACUCCAAGCAGAGAGAGUUGGCUGUACAAGGUUUCAGGACGUCCAAGAGACUAACAAAUUUCUAGACCAUUUCUCCUUCACAAUCACACUGCCACCAAUACAAAGCUUGCAUUGGUAGCAGUAAGAUACAUAGACUUAAGCAGGGAGAGUGAUGAAGCCUCUAACCAAAAAAAAAAAAAAAACCACCUCAAGGACAUCCUGAAGUAAAAAUUAUCUUCUCUGAUAAACCCUGAUGGUGUAGGCAUCGUUUAUCAAAUAGUCCAGAAACCAUCUGGCAAUGAUCUGAGGAUUUUCCAGCACGAAGAAGCACCGUGUCACAGGAUAAAGUGACAAAAUAGCUUUAGGAUCUGAACAUGUACAUUUCUAAUCUAUGGUCUUUUCUCAAAAUCAGGUGUAGA